ACUGCACGGUAGGCCCCUGUAGCGCGGUGUUCCGGGUGUCCUGAGGCCCGGUGUUCCUAGUCGCCCAGAGUUCCGUGUGCCCAAUAUCCCGAAGUCUCCCGAUGUCCUCCAUGUCCCGGUAUCCCGGGUUUGUCCCCGCAGCAAUUCGGCGCAUGCGCAUGGCGCGCCCCGCCCGGGGGAGCGGUGCCGCGGAGCGCCGGCAGGGGGCGCUGCGCUGCGGGCCCGCGCGGCCUGUGGGGCCUGUCGGGCCUGUGGGGUCUGUCGUGGCCCUGUCGCUCUGUGUCGUUCCCUGUCGCUUUCUGUCGCGACCUGCGGUGGGGCCGGUGGCACGGACAUGGCGGCGCGGCGGGGGAGUCGGUCUCGGAACCGGACUCUUCCUGGCAGGAAGGAAAAGUCUUUUGAACGACUCUCUUUAACAAUUGAAGAGCCUGAGCCUGAGCCUGAGCCUGUUCCAUAUGUUCUGCAACAAGAGGACUUCCAGGCACUUGAAAUUAAAGUGGAGGACCUGGAGAAACUUCAUGCUCCACGCCUUGCCUAUGGUGCUGGGAGGAUUCCAGUUCAGAGGAGUUACCUCGUCCGAAAAUACCGACCCAAGGAGGUGGCACACCUCGUGGCACAUCCUGUGCCCCCCAAGGCACCCAGAGGACCCCUGACUUUUCCUGGUAGGCUUCAACUUCACCUCUUACCUCUGGGUUUUGGUUUUGCUAAGCCAGACUUUAGUGACCUGGCUCUGGUUGGGUAUUUUUAUAUGUGUGUUGUAGUACCAAGACAGUUUGAGGAUGGCUGUGAAGAGAUCCUCCCUCAUCACAUUUUGGGAAGUCUCCAGGAGUUAAAGAUGGAAGCCUUGGCCAAAAGGAACACUCAGCUAGCAGAUGCUAUUAAGGUUCCUCAUCCAGAUGUUACUGCAGCAGCUUUAGAAGAGGAACAUGGGGGAGAGAAGAAAGAAACGUCACAUCAGGCCCAACUAGCAGAGCACAAAGCUUUCCAGAACUGGAACCAUCAUAUGGCAAUGAGGAAAAAGCAGGAGAAACACCUAGGAGAAAUUCUUCACAAGCCAGAGAAUGAACUGCUGAUGAACAUGUCAGACAAUUACAGGCAAAUCCAGGAAGAACGUGACCUCAUUGACCGGAGUCUCCCUGCCCUAUUUCCUGGAAAGGGAUACCGAGUGGGAAGCGAGUUCUGGAGCCUUCCUGAGCAAAUUGGGGAUGAUCUCACCGGGCUGACUCUGACCCUGACCCAGACAGAACGUGGGCACCCAGAGCCACUCACUCAUGUGGGGAAACCCCGGACCAUCCAGAGGGAAACAGGUGUGAAGCCUCCAAAGAAGAUUCCUUGCCACCUAAACUGGGAUAAGAGUCUUUUCCUGAAACAUCGACGGCAGGAGCUAAAAUCUCUCCUGGAGGAGCUGGGCUUUUAUAAGCCAGAUCUGGAAGGACUGGAGGUGAUUGGGAAAGGGCAGCCUUUCACAUCUGUCUCAGCUGAGGCUUUUCUGCAUACUGCCAUUUCUGAAGAGAUUGAGAUCCUGAGUGACCCCUUAGGUGACUCCUUCACUGUGGAUCCAGAAGCUGAAAAGGUCCCAUCUUUAGUUUUCUGUGGCCAGCCUGCUCGUUGGAUCAAGGGCAUCACUUCUUGCAGGGAAAUUGGUAUUGCUGCCCGGCUCACCUUUGAGACUCUGGCUAGUGAGAAGGCUGAAAGCUUCCUGACAGUGACCAAUGAUGGCAUAGCUUCCAUUUGGUACAACUGGAUGAGGCUUCCCCAGCAGAUCCCCUCCAGAGAAACCAGGGGGAGGAGAGUGCCCUGCUUUUACUUUGAUACCAGACCAGGUGUAAUUUUGCCUGGAGAAACUCGGACGUUUUCUUUUAUUUUCAAGUCAGAGAGAGCAGGCAUUUUCAGUGAGCCCUGGGAAUUUAGGACACAUCCUCUGUUAUUAGGAGGAGCUCUGCUUCAGGUGACCCUUUGGGGAAUUGCUGUGUAUGAGGAUAAAUUGGCUGACUUCAGAGAGAAAUUGGAGAAUGAGCUGGCUGCUCGAGAAGGAGCUUCUAUAGUGAAAGAAAGCCUGAAUGAACUUCUUAAACAAGUUCGGACGCCCGAACGCACCCCAUCUCCUGUGGAUUCCUGUGUCACAGAGGAAGAGCUGUUCCACAGGAAAAAUCCCGAGUUGCAUUAUCAACAUCAAGUGAUAAAGCAGCUGCAUAAACUGUGGAGACAGCACCUGACUGUCUUGGAGGAGGAAGUGCCCUUGGACCAGAGGAGCACUGCAGAGGACGUGGAGUACCAGGAGAGCAUCUUGGAGCCUCCCUCUGUCCAGAGCACUGAGGAGGAAGAAGCAGGUUCUUCAGGAUGGAACCUUUCCAUUGAGGACUUUAAACAGGCUAUAAUGUCAAUCUCCGGGAAGGAGCAGCGGGAAGAAGCACUGGCCCAGCUCAAUAAGGCAGCUCUGGAGCUGUGUGUUGAACAGAGGCCAACUCAGUCAGACCUUCUGUAUCCACUCUGCCUCCAGCUGUGGCGUGGAGCAAUUGAUGGCUUGGUGUGUCACUCUCUGAGGCUCAGAUCUGUGCUUGGUUUGAUUAAGAAGGACAUCUAUGUAGAAGCUGCUCCAGUGGAAACAGGAUCAUUCAGGCAGCAGGAAGCUGAAAGCUUCCAUUUCUGUGUACGACAUGAAAGGGGGAGCAGACUCCAUCAAAGGAAGAGGUGAGAAGCAGAAGGUGAAAGAGGAAGCUGCAACUCCAGUUGAGGCAGAACCUGUUCAGGAGCAAGUGGACUCUGUUUUACUUGAAAAAUACCGGGAAAAGCUCUACAUUGAAGUUUACAGUCUGCUGGAUUCAAUGGUGAGUGAAAUGGUGUCUUUAUUUGAGGAUCUGAAGCAGUAACAUGCUCUGAAGUGGGAGUGAAGCCCUUUGUAUGCAGAAAUAGACUUGCUUAAAAAAAAUAAAAUAAAUAACCAUAUUUACACAAAUGGAGUGGAGAUUCUUCUGUCUGAAGUGAU